GUGCCAGUAGCUCAGCUGGAUAGAGCAACGGUCUUCUAAACCGUAGGUCGUAGGUUCGAAUCCUACCUGGCAUG
rfam:Facklamia languida CCTG 37842 genomic scaffold supercont1.1, whole genome shotgun sequence.